UACGGGGGGAGCAAGCGUUGUUCGGAUUUACUGGGCGUAAAGGGCGCGUAGGCGGCCACCGCAAGUCGACUGUGAAAUCUCCGGGCUUAACCCGGAAAGGUCAGCCGAUACUGCGGGGCUAGAGUGCAGAAGGGGCAACUGGAAUUCUCGGUGUAGCGGUGAAAUGCGUAGAGAUGCGGAGGAACACCGAUGGCGAAGGCAGCCCCCCUGGGCUGACACUGACGCUCAGGCACGAAAGCGUGGGGAGCAAACAGG
rnacentral:rRNA from 1 species